GAUGAACGCUAGCUACAUGCUUAACACAUGCAAGUCGAGCGACCGACGCACGAGUAAGUAACACGUAUCCAACCUACACUUUACUCAGAGAUAGCCUUUCGAAAGGCAGAUUAAUACCCGAAAUAAAGAUUGAGGAUGCGUUGCAGUAGUUUGUUGGUGAGGUAACGGCUCACCAAGACUUCGAUGGAUAGGUGCUCUGCGAGGAAGCUCCCCCACAUUGGAACCGCGACCCGGUCCAAACCGCGACGGGAGGCAGCAGUGAGGAACAUUGUGGAAGAGGCGCUAGCCUGAAACAGCCAAGUAGCGUGAAGAAUGAAGGCUUAGGGGUCGUAAACUACUUUUAUAUAACAAUAUGUAUUAUAUCAAUAAGGAUCGGCUAACUCCGUGCCAGCAGCCGCGGUAAUAC
rnacentral:rRNA from 1 species